rnacentral:rRNA from 1 species
CCUACGGGAGGCAGCAGUGAGGAAUAUUGGUCAAUGGACGAGAGUCUGAACCAGCCAAGUAGCGUGAAGGAUGACUGCCCUAUGGGUUGUAAACUUCUUUUAUAUGGGAAUAAAACGUUCCACGUGUGGGAUUUUGUAUGUACCAUAUGAAUAAGGAUCGGCUAACUCCGUGCCAGCAGCCGCGGUAAUACGGAGGAUCCGAGCGUUAUCCGGAUUUAUUGGGUUUAAAGGGAGCGUAGGUGGAUUGUUAAGUCAGUUGUGAAAGUUUGCGGCUCAACCGGAAAAUUGCAGUUGAAACUGGCAGUCUUGAGUACAGUAGAGGUGGGCGGAAGUCGGGGUGUAGCGGUGAAAUGCUUAGAUAUCACGAAGAACUCCGAUGGCGAAGGCAGUUCACUGGACUGCAACUGACACUGAGGCUCGAAAGUGUGGGUAUCAAACAGGAUUAGAUACCCCGGUAGUC